rnacentral:rRNA from 1 species
ACGUAGGGUGCAAGCGUUAAUCGGAAUUACUGGGCGUAAAGCGUGCGCAGGCGGUUAUGUAAGACAGAGGUGAAAUCCCCGGGCUCAACCUGGGAACUGCCUUUGUGACUGCAUAGCUGGAGUGCGGCAGAGGGGGAUGGAAUUCCGCGUGUAGCAGUGAAAUGCGUAGAUAUGCGGAGGAACACCGAUGGCGAAGGCAAUCCCCUGGGCCUGCACUGACGCUCAUGCACGAAAGCGUGGGGAGCAAACAGG